rnacentral:rRNA from 1 species
GAUUAAGCCAUGCAUGUCUAAGUAUAAGCAUUCCUUUUACUGUAAAACUGCGGACGGCUCAUUAAAUCAGUUAUAAUUUACAUGAUCAUAAUACUUCACAUGGAUAACCGUGGGAAUUCUAGAGCUAAUACAUGAUUCAUAAAUCAGGACCUUCUCUUUUGAAGGAAAUGAUGAAUUUAUUAGAUUAACCAACGCAUGAUAUUUAAACUAUAUGGAACUAGUGUCUGUAUGGGUCAUGGUCUCAUUUGAGAUACUUUUGGUGAUUCAAAAUAACUUAUCGAAUCGCAGAGACAUUUAUUUGUCGGCGAUGAUACAUACAAAUUUCUGCCCUAUCAACUGUCGAUGGUAGUGUAGUGGACUACCAUGGUGAUAACGGGUAACGGGGAAUUAGGGUUCGAUUCCGGAGAGGGAGCCUGAGAAAUGGCUACCACUUCCAAGGAAGGCAGCAGGCGCGCAAAUUACCCAAUCCUAAUUCAGGGAGGUAGUGACAAGAAAUACCAAUACAAUGCCAAUGGUGUUGUGUUUGGAAUGAGAGUAAUCUAAAAAGUUGCUCGAGGAACAAUUGGAGGGCAAGUCUGGUGCCAGCAGCCGCGGUAAUUCCAGCUCCAAUAGUGUAUAUUAAAGUUGCUGCAGUUAAAAAGCUCGUAGUUGAAUGUCGGUUAUCGUGAAGAUUGUCUACUUUUUACAAGUACGUACAUAAUUCCGAUACCUUCUUUCAGGUAGUGAUUUAUUUUGCUCCUGAUAAUUUACUUUGAGAAAAUUAGAGUGUUCAAAGCAGGCGUAACAAUGCCUUUGGAUAUAUUAGCAUGGGAUAAUGAAAUAAGACUUUUUGCCUUAUUCUCGUUGGUUCUUUGGGCUUAAGUAAUGAUUAAUAGGGACAGUUGGGGUUAUCUGUAUUUGAUCGCCAGAGGUGAAAUUCUAAGACUGAUCAAAGACAAACUACUGCGAAAGCAUUUAACAAGGAUGUUUUCAUUAAUCAAGAACGAAAGUUGGGGGAUCGAAGAUGAUCAGAUACCGUCGUAGUCCCAACCAUAAACUAUGCCGACCAAGGAUUCGCAAUCGUUACAUGAAUGACCUCUCGGGCACUUAUAGAGAAAUCACAAGUAUUUGGGUUCCGGGGGGAGUAUGGUCGCAAGGCUGAAACUUAAAGGAAUUGACGGAAGGGCACCACAAGGAGUGGAAUAUGCGGUUUAAUUUGACCCAACACGGGAAAACUUACCAGGUCCAGACACAAGGAGGAUUGACAGAUUGAGAGCUCUUUCUUAAUUUUGUGGGUGGUGGUGCAUGGCCGUUUCUAGUUGGUGGAGUGAUUUGUCUGGUUAAUUCCGUUAACGAACGAGACCUUAACCUAUUAAAUAGUUACAUCC